GGGUUGUGAGGUUAAGCGACUAAGCGUACACGGUGGAUGCCCUGGCAGUCAGAGGCGAUGAAGGACGUGCUAAUCUGCGAUAAGCGUCGGUAAGGUGAUAUGAACCGUUAUAACCGGCGAUUUCCGAAUGGGGAAACCCAGUGUGUUUCGACACACUAUCAUUAACUGAAUCCAUAGGUUAAUGAGGCGAACCGGGGGAACUGAAACAUCUAAGUACCCCGAGGAAAAGAAAUCAACCGAGAUUCCCCCAGUAGCGGCGAGCGAACGGGGAGGAGCCCAGAGCCUGAAUCAGUGUGUGUGUUAGUGGAAGCGUCUGGAAAGGCGCGCGAUACAGGGUGACAGCCCCGUACACAAAAAUGCACAUGCUGUGAGCUCGAUGAGUAGGGCGGGACACGUGGUAUCCUGUCUGAAUAUGGGGGGACCAUCCUCCAAGGCUAAAUACUCCUGACUGACCGAUAGUGAACCAGUACCGUGAGGGAAAGGCGAAAAGAACCCCGGCGAGGGGAGUGAAAAAGAACCUGAAACCGUGUACGUACAAGCAGUGGGAGCACGCUUAGGCGUGUGACUGCGUACCUUUUGUAUAAUGGGUCAGCGACUUAUAUUCUGUAGCAAGGUUAACCGAAUAGGGGAGCCGAAGGGAAACCGAGUCUUAACUGGGCGUUAAGUUGCAGGGUAUAGACCCGAAACCCGGUGAUCUAGCCAUGGGCAGGUUGAAGGUUGGGUAACACUAACUGGAGGACCGAACCGACUAAUGUUGAAAAAUUAGCGGAUGACUUGUGGCUGGGGGUGAAAGGCCAAUCAAACCGGGAGAUAGCUGGUUCUCCCCGAAAGCUAUUUAGGUAGCGCCUCGUGAAUUCAUCUCCGGGGGUAGAGCACUGUUUCGGCAAGGGGGUCAUCCCGACUUACCAACCCGAUGCAAACUGCGAAUACCGGAGAAUGUUAUCACGGGAGACACACGGCGGGUGCUAACGUCCGUCGUGAAGAGGGAAACAACCCAGACCGCCAGCUAAGGUCCCAAAGUCAUGGUUAAGUGGGAAACGAUGUGGGAAGGCCCAGACAGCCAGGAUGUUGGCUUAGAAGCAGCCAUCAUUUAAAGAAAGCGUAAUAGCUCACUGGUCGAGUCGGCCUGCGCGGAAGAUGUAACGGGGCUAAACCAUGCACCGAAGCUGCGGCAGCGACGCUUAUGCGUUGUUGGGUAGGGGAGCGUUCUGUAAGCCUGUGAAGGUGUGCUGUGAGGCAUGCUGGAGGUAUCAGAAGUGCGAAUGCUGACAUAAGUAACGAUAAAGCGGGUGAAAAGCCCGCUCGCCGGAAGACCAAGGGUUCCUGUCCAACGUUAAUCGGGGCAGGGUGAGUCGACCCCUAAGGCGAGGCCGAAAGGCGUAGUCGAUGGGAAACAGGUUAAUAUUCCUGUACUUGGUGUUACUGCGAAGGGGGGACGGAGAAGGCUAUGUUGGCCGGGCGACGGUUGUCCCGGUUUAAGCGUGUAGGCUGGUUUUCCAGGCAAAUCCGGAAAAUCAAGGCUGAGGCGUGAUGACGAGGCACUACGGUGCUGAAGCAACAAAUGCCCUGCUUCCAGGAAAAGCCUCUAAGCAUCAGGUAACAUCAAAUCGUACCCCAAACCGACACAGGUGGUCAGGUAGAGAAUACCAAGGCGCUUGAGAGAACUCGGGUGAAGGAACUAGGCAAAAUGGUGCCGUAACUUCGGGAGAAGGCACGCUGAUAUGUAGGUGAAGCGACUUGCUCGUGGAGCUGAAAUCAGUCGAAGAUACCAGCUGGCUGCAACUGUUUAUUAAAAACACAGCACUGUGCAAACACGAAAGUGGACGUAUACGGUGUGACGCCUGCCCGGUGCCGGAAGGUUAAUUGAUGGGGUCAGCGCAAGCGAAGCUCUUGAUCGAAGCCCCGGUAAACGGCGGCCGUAACUAUAACGGUCCUAAGGUAGCGAAAUUCCUUGUCGGGUAAGUUCCGACCUGCACGAAUGGCGUAAUGAUGGCCAGGCUGUCUCCACCCGAGACUCAGUGAAAUUGAACUCGCUGUGAAGAUGCAGUGUACCCGCGGCAAGACGGAAAGACCCCGUGAACCUUUACUAUAGCUUGACACUGAACAUUGAGCCUUGAUGUGUAGGAUAGGUGGGAGGCUUAGAAGUGUGGACGCCAGUCUGCAUGGAGCCGACCUUGAAAUACCACCCUUUAAUGUUUGAUGUUCUAACGUGGACCCGUAAUCCGGGUUGCGGACAGUGUCUGGUGGGUAGUUUGACUGGGGCGGUCUCCUCCUAAAGAGUAACGGAGGAGCACGAAGGUUGGCUAAUCCUGGUCGGACAUCAGGAGGUUAGUGCAAUGGCAUAAGCCAGCUUGACUGCGAGCGUGACGGCGCGAGCAGGUGCGAAAGCAGGUCAUAGUGAUCCGGUGGUUCUGAAUGGAAGGGCCAUCGCUCAACGGAUAAAAGGUACUCCGGGGAUAACAGGCUGAUACCGCCCAAGAGUUCAUAUCGACGGCGGUGUUUGGCACCUCGAUGUCGGCUCAUCACAUCCUGGGGCUGAAGUAGGUCCCAAGGGUAUGGCUGUUCGCCAUUUAAAGUGGUACGCGAGCUGGGUUUAGAACGUCGUGAGACAGUUCGGUCCCUAUCUGCCGUGGGCGCUGGAGAACUGAGGGGGGCUGCUCCUAGUACGAGAGGACCGGAGUGGACGCAUCACUGGUGUUCGGGUUGUCAUGCCAAUGGCACUGCCCGGUAGCUAAAUGCGGAAGAGAUAAGUGCUGAAAGCAUCUAAGCACGAAACUUGCCCCGAGAUGAGUUCUCCCUGACUCCUUGAGAGUCCUGAAGGAACGUUGAAGACGACGACGUUGAUAGGCCGGGUGUGUAAGCGCAGCGAUGCGUUGAGCUAACCGGUACUAAUGAACCGUGAGGCUUAACCUUACAACGCCGAAGCUGUU
rnacentral:rRNA from 1 species